CUUCUCUGAUGUUAGCGGCGGACGGGUGAGUAACACGUGGAUAACCUACCUAUAAGACUGGGAUAACUUCGGGAAACCGGAGCUAAUACCGGAUAAUAUUUUGAACCGCAUGGUUCAAAAGUGAAAGACGGUCUUGCUGUCACUUAUAGAUGGAUCCGCGCUGCAUUAGCUAGUUGGUAAGGUAACGGCUUACCAAGGCAACGAUGCAUAGCCGACCUGAGAGGGUGAUCGGCCACACUGGAACUGAGACACGGUCCAGACUCCUACGGGAGGCAGCAGUAGGGAAUCUUCCGCAAUGGGCGAAAGCCUGACGGAGCAACGCCGCGUGAGUGAUGAAGGUCUUCGGAUCGUAAAACUCUGUUAUUAGGGAAGAACAUAUGUGUAAGUAACUGUGCACAUCUUGA
rnacentral:rRNA from 1 species